rnacentral:piRNA from 1 species
UGCAUUGAUUAAUGAUGCCUGAAUACUCGUU